rnacentral:rRNA from 1 species
UACGUAGGUGGCAAGCGUUGUCCGGAAUUAUUGGGCGUAAAGCGCGCGCAGGCGGUCCUUUAAGUCUGAUGUGAAAGCCCACGGCUCAACCGUGGAGGGUCAUUGGAAACUGGGGGACUUGAGUGCAGAAGAGGAAAGCGGAAUUCCACGUGUAGCGGUGAAAUGCGUAGAGAUGUGGAGGAACACCGGUGGCGAAGGCGGCCUUCUGGACAGUGACUGACGCUGAGACGCGAAAGCGUGGGGAGCAAACAGG